AGGACCCGAGGAAUGAAGACACGUCUGUCUGCAGAAACUGCAACAGUAAAGAUAAGGGAGAAAAGAAACAGCCUGCCUAGGAACAACAAUGAGACCCAAUAAGGAGCAGGAGACCCCAGACUCAAAAAUUACUAUUGGUCUGAACUACCACGUGAGGGGUGGGAAACUUAAUUUGAAAAAUCUGUAAUUGCCCAGGGAUUUCUUUGUUUGGGGUCCCUCUUCGGAGGCACCCAACUCGAGCUGUAACCACUGCACGCAUGCCAUUACAAUUUAUUUAUUUAAUUUGCCUUGAUUUGGCUCCGAACUUUUCAGCGGGAACCUAGGGUCGGACCCUGCUGGAGUUGUAAUUACUGCACGCGCAUCACCAAAACUUACACCCAGGGUGAAGAGGACCCACCUACCACCAGACGGGAGCCCCCCGCCACCGCCGAGACUCCCAAAGGAAAAGGACCAACGGAACACCGCUGGAUCCACGGUAUGAUUCUCACUCUACCACUUCUCAAGGUGAACAGUUUUGAUCUGAAGCGGUUAUGAUGAACAGCGUCCAGAGGUCUCUGCCAAGAAGAGUAUGAUGUUCAUGGGAUAGAGCUGGAAAUGGAUCCCCUGACACCUGAAUAGCGUCAGAUUGCAAUAAAUAAAGCAGCAGUCCCAGCAUCCACUGUGGAUAAGCCUACUACUCAAGCAAUCUCCUUGCAACAUGUUUUUGAAUCCUCAUCCCUGACCUAUACUGAGAACUCUUUUGCUAUGGUGAAGGAUGCAGAAAUUUUUCAUGUUCAAAAAGAAUAAAUGAGCCCUAAAUGCAGCCUUUUCUCCUUUUGAUGAAUAUGUAGGUCCCUUUUAUGCUGAUGGCAAUUACUUGCAUAUAUCAAGAAGAGACUAUCCGUAUAUUUAGGAAAAUUAUUUUAGCUUGGCUCUGUGAAUAAGAAUUGUAAAUUGCAGCAGAAAAGAACUAGAAAAUUCUAUCUAAGAACAGAGUAGCAUGGAAUUACCAACAAUUUUAUACAUAAAUCUAUAGUCAAAUUGGUUUCUGCUUCAGUAUUUUUUCCCCUUCCACUUCUCCUUCCCCUUCCCGUUCGUUUCCUUCUUCCUCAUCUCCUUCUGCUUCUCCUUCCCCUUCCUCUUCCCCUCUCCCUCUCCCUCCCCUCUCCCUCUCCCUCUCUCUCUCCCUCUCCCUCUCCCUUAGCUUUUUUUCACUGUAUGCCAAACAAAAGAAACCAUUGCCACAGUUCAUUAGAUAUUGAUGUGGCUGGUAUUUUCAGAGCUUAUAUUUCUCUUGUGACUAUGGCCAGAGAGAAAAAAAGUAUUGUGUAAAGAACUGUUUCUGUCAUCAUAAGUUGCCACUAACAUGUUUUAUUUUGUAAUGACUUUGCUGCUAAUAAAGAAGAUGUGCAAAAAAGCUUGGAGGACUGUAGGUUAGAGAUACAGAAUUAAUUUACUUACAGUAUUGAUGUAUACAUAUUUUCAAAGGUGAAUUUAUGCAUGCAAGUAUGCAACUGUUCAGACCUUUUUUAAAACAUGCUCCUGAUUUAUUUAAUAAACUUAAUUAA